rnacentral:lncRNA from 1 species
AUUGGGAACCAGACAGACCAAAAUAGAAUAUUCUGAAUAUGAAACUUAGUGAUCUUGUUACUUUAUUUUCCAAAAUAUUCAAAUUUACUUCCCAUAUUUCACUUUGCUUAUACUGUAAAUUCAUUUUAUAAUUUCACCACUUUAUUUUUCACUUUUAGUAUUUGGGUUCAUUUACCUUAGUAUAUUCACCUUUAAAACAUUGUUGCAUAAAGUCGAGUUUGGAAAGGGUCUGUGCAGUCUAUAUGCCUGGGUAGAAUCUUUUUUGAUGUUGCAGGGUAAUUGGAGUCUUCCUGUGAGAACUCUGGCAAUAGCUUUUCAUUGUAGAGAAAACAAUGUCUUUGAGUGUAGUCAGCUGUCUGUCUGUUGCUUAGUGGGAAGAAAGAAGAUGUUAGGAAAGAUAGCAAAAAGUUAACCUCAAACCUGCUGUUAUGGACUUGACAGCUGAACAGAUGUUUUUUCUCUGUGGGAGAUUGUUAACCUGUUACCAGCAACUCUGAUCCUUCUUGAACCUGCUACAAUAUUAAUGGAGGACAACAGACAGGGCAGGCAAGUAUGUCCCAGGCCAAGUCCUAGGAGUUCUGUGUGGAAUGCUGACCUGCAGGAUCUUAUGCUGUCCACUUGCCUGUUAUUCCCUGCUAGAAAUCCCUUACUACAAAAGGAAUACCAACAGAAGUUACCAUUUGCUUUGCUACUGCAUCAUGAGGUACUACAGCCAGAGUCCAGACUGAUCCUUGAGGAUUCUGCAUGGGAAAGCCACUGUUUCAUAGGAAUUCUUCUUUGACUUGACUCUUGCACUAGAUACUAGAGCUCUAAAGAGAAGAUAAAACAGUCUGUGUCCUGAAGGAAAUUGCAUUCCAUUGGAGAAGAAAAUUUGUACGUUUAAGUAUAUACAAGAAUAUGUAAAAUAAAUAAAAAUUAAUGGGAAGGAACUAGCUGCUG